UGAGGAAUAUUGCUCAAUGGGCGAAAGCCUGAAGCAGCGACGCCGCGUGAGGGAUGAAAUCCGUUAGGAUGUAAACCUCUUUUGCAGGGGAUGAAUGUUCCCUUUUAGGGAAUUGACCGUACCCUGUGAAUAAGCACCGGCCAACUACGUGCCAGCAGCCGCGGUAAUACGUAGGGUGCAAGCGUUGUCCGGAAUUACUGGGUGUAAAGGGUCCGCAGGCGGGCAGACAAGUCGGUGGUGAAAGCUCUUCGCUCAACGGAGAGACUGCCAUCGAUACUGUUUGUCUUGAGUUCGAGAGAGGAUAAUGGAAUUCAUGGUGUAGCGGUGAAAUGCGUAGAGAUCAUGAAGAACACCGGUAGCGAAGGCGGUUAUCUGGCUCGAUACUGACGCUCAGGGACGAAAGCGUGGGUAGCAAACAGGAUUAGAUACCCGGGUAGUCC
rnacentral:rRNA from 1 species